GGAGGAUGCGAGCGUUAUCCGGAUUUAUUGGGUUUAAAGGGAGCGUAGGCCGGAGAUUAAGCGUGUUGUGAAAUGUAGACGCUCAACGUCUGCACUGCAGCGCGAACUGGUUUCCUUGAGUACGCACAAAGUGGGCGGAAUUCGUGGUGUAGCGGUGAAAUGCUUAGAUAUCACGAAGAACUCCGAUUGCGAAGGCAGCUCACUGGAGCGCAACUGACGCUGAAGCUCGAAAGUGCGGGUAUCGAACAGGAUUAGAUACCCUGGUAGUCCGCACGGUAAACGAUGGAUGCCCGCUGUUGGUCUGAACAGGUCAGCGGCCAAGCGAAAGCAUUAAGCAUCCCACCUGGGGAGU
rnacentral:rRNA from 1 species